rnacentral:rRNA from 1 species
UACGUAGGGUGCAAGCGUUGUCCGGAAUUAUUGGGCGUAAAGAGCUCGUAGGCGGUCUGUCGCGUCUGCUGUGAAAACUCAGGGCUUAACCCUGAGCUUGCAGUGGGUACGGGCAGACUAGAGUGCGGUAGGGGAGACUGGAAUUCCUGGUGUAGCGGUGAAAUGCGCAGAUAUCAGGAGGAACACCGGUGGCGAAGGCGGGUCUCUGGGCCGUAAGCUGACGCU